rnacentral:rRNA from 1 species
UCAACGGAGAGUUUGAUCCUGGCUCAGGACGAACGCUGGCGGCGUGCUUAACACAUGCAAGUCGAACGAUGAACCACUUCGGUGGGGAUUAGUGGCGAACGGGUGAGUAACACGUGGGCAAUCUGCCCUUCACUCUGGGACAAGCCCUGGAAACGGGGUCUAAUACCGGAUACGACCUGCCAAGGCAUCUUGGCGGGUGGAAAGCUCCGGCGGUGAAGGAUGAACCCGCGGCCUAUCAGCUAGUUGGUGAGGUAACGGCUCACCAAGGCGACGACGGGUAGCCGGCCUGAGAGGGCGACCGGCCACACUGGGACUGAGACACGGCCCAGACUCCUACGGGAGGCAGCAGUGGGGAAUAUUGCACAAUGGGCGAAAGCCUGAUGCAGCGACGCCGCGUGAGGGAUGACGGCCUUCGGGUUGUAAACCUCUUUCAGCAGGGAAGAAGCGAAAGUGACGGUACCUGCAGAAGAAGCGCCGGCUAACUACGUGCCAGCAGCCGCGGUAAUACGUAGGGCGCAAGCGUUAUCCGGAAUUAUUGGGCGUAAAGAGCUCGUAGGCGGUUUGUCGCGUCUGCUGUGAAAGCCCGGGGCUCAACCCCGGGUCUGCAGUGGGUACGGGCAGACUAGAGUGCGGUAGGGGAGAUUGGAAUUCCUGGUGUAGCGGUGGAAUGCGCAGAUAUCAGGAGGAACACCGAUGGCGAAGGCAGUUCUCUGGGCCUUUCUUGACGCUGAGAAGCGAAAGCGUGGGGAGCAAACAGGCUUAGAUACCCUGGUAGUCCACGCUGUAAACGGUGGGUACUAGGUGUGGGGACCAUUCCACGGUCUCUGUGCCGCAGCUAACG